rnacentral:rRNA from 1 species
AACGAAUGCUGGCGGCAUGCCUAACACAUGCAAGUCGAACGAGACCUUCGGGUCUAGUUGCGCACGGGUGCGUAACGCGUGGGAACCUGCCCUUAGGUUCGGAAUAACUCCCCGAAAGGGGUGCUAAUACCGGAUAAUGUCUUCGGACCAAAGAUUUAUCGCCUUUGGAUGGGCCCGCGUUGGAUUAGCUAGUUGGUAGGGUAAAAGCCUACCAAGGCGACGAUCCAUAGCUGGUCUGAGAGGAUGAUCAGCCACACUGGGACUGAGACACGGCCCAGACUCCUACGGGAGGCAGCAGUGGGGAAUAUUGGACAAUGGGCGAAAGCCUGAUACAGCAAUGCCGCGUGAGUGAUGAAGGCCUUAGGGUUGUAAAGCUCUUUUACCCGGGAUGAUAAUGACAGUACCGGGAGAAUAAGCUCCGGCUAACUCCGUG